UACGAAGGGGGCUAGCGUUGUUCGGAAUUACUGGGCGUAAAGCGCACGUAGGCGGCUUUGUAAGUUAGAGGUGAAAUCCUGGAGCUCAACUCCAGAACUGCCUUUGAUACUGGAGAGCUUGAGUCCGGGAGAGGUGAGUGGAACUCCGAGUGUAGAGGUGAAAUUCGUAGAUAUUCGGAAGAACGCCAGUGGCGAAGGCGGCUCACUGGCCCGGUACUGACGCUGAGGUGCGAAAGCGUGGGGAGCAAACGGG
rnacentral:rRNA from 1 species